UCUAGAGACCGACGUAGCGUGACGAGGGGAGCAGGUCCCGCCUUGGGGGUUCAGGACUGAGUUGGGAGAGUGGGUACCUGCGGUGGGGGCUGGGCCGCUCUGGGGUGUGAGGAGACAAAGGGAUCUCGUCCAAGUCGCCUCUUUCUCGCUUUGGAGCUCGAUGCCCUGGCUGUCUCGGCGGUAAAGCCAUUGGGGUCCCGCCCCGGCCGCAGUGAGUGCGGUGUCCUGUUCCAGGGGUGCCCUGGAGCCACUUUCCUUCUAGAGGCAGGGGUGCGUCAGCUUCUAAGGCCAGUGGCCGAGCUCAUAUCAAGUCUCUGAAGGAGGCAGAUUCUGAGGGUCUGUGUCCUGAGGUUCGGCUGGAGUUUCUACUCCAGAUUCAAGGGCAGCGGUCCUGAAGAGACCCCCAACACUUCACACGUCUUUGGUGGGAUCUGGCUCCUGGCUCAAGUGAAUUUCCAGGACUCAGGAUGAAAUUUGGACUGAACUUGCUCGGAAUGGAGUCCAUUCAAGGUCAUACACCAUGAGGAGUGCACAUAAUCUGGAGUCUGGGACCCACUCGGAGCUCUAGGAGGAGGUGACUGCAGUUCUGCAAGGAGGGACAGCUGAGCGAGAAUCAGAAUCUCUUUCUGGAUCUUAGUGCCUGAGCCACCCAGUGUGAGUUCGUUCUCCAGCCUGUUCCGUCACAUGGGUCUUCACUCAGCAUGCAUGACUCUUCACACCUCCAGUGACCCAGGGGCUACCAAGGUCAUGUUAAUGAUUUCACACAUUCUAGUUUCUUGUGGUGUUAUGGUGGCCUCAUAAAACCACCUUAACAUAUGAAGAAGAGGAAGGCUCUCCCUGCAGUCAUCAGAGGCUCCUCAAAGAGGAGCUGGGCCUGGGACAGUGGGCAGGACUUCUGGGGGCUGAAUGGGAGGGAGGGGCCGGGGAGUCCAUGCUGACUGGAGUGAAGAGUGGGGGCUCCCAGGUGAGCAGACAGGGCUCAGAGGUAACUGAUGGGUCACCCCAGGGAAGUGAGGCCGUCCAGGUGUAGGACGGAUUGGGAAAGGAACACAUUUGCUUCCAUGGGAUGCUGCAUAGCCCCUUUGUACACUGAAGUGGCAUAAGAACGCUAAGAAGGAGCGUGCCCUGCACGUCUAUCACUGGUCCCCGGGGGCCGGGAAGAACCAGGAGCACUGACAGUAGUGAAGCGGAGUUGAUGCUCAGGCCCCCAAACCUCCAUUGAAGUAGGAAGCAGGCAUCAAGGGGAAGGAUUCACGACAGAGGGACCUCCCUGUGCCAUCUGGAAACCAUACACCCUCUUUAGUUUCUGGCCCCAGGUCCGAGGUCCACCUGCCAAGCGGGAUCCUACCUGCCUCCUGGAGUCACAUUCUUAGUCAGAACAUGCUGUCCACAGGCGAGCUCUCUCCAUGUUCUCAUUUGUUUUACCUCUGCAUUGUCACCAAGAUCACUUGGGCUGUUCUCCUCCUCUGUUGCCUCAGCUCCUUUCAUCAGCUCAGUGAGGUGUAUCACACUACACUGCUUCUUUUUUCACCUAUUAUGAUUUAUUCCCUAUAAUACUUCUUUAAAGGGUUCAGUGAUUUGCACUCAGAAGUUAAAUAGCCAAUAAGCAACCAAAUGUAAUACAAAGGUUGAUCUGAAGUCUUCACACUAAAAGCCAUACAAAGUCUCCUGCCUCAGGAAAAUAAGAAUGAAAAUGAACAAAAAGAACACAAGACUCCUUUGGCUCCAGUAUCUCAAUAGAAAUUAACAUCAACAAUUAGUGAUGCCACAGAAAACAGAUUUUGUGAAAAUAUUAAAAUUAACACCCAGGACUUUUGUAUAGAUGAUUUAACCACAAACCUCUCAUGCUGAAAGAGUGCCUAAUAUGAGUAGCUUUAAUAUUUUGAAGUGAAAAAGUUUAAGAACAUCACAGUGGAAGCAAUCUAACACUGAAAACUCUAGUGAUCAAAGACUUUCUCUUUUAGUUAAUGUAAAGCAAUUCAUAAUUACAGAGAGAAUGCCUUCGCUGUGGAUUUUAUGAGACAAGCCACCUUUCCAGACCAAAAGGGGAUGAAAUUAACUCUGAUCCAAACCAGCCAAGUGGGGCUGGUUCAUUUAAAACAGUGGUUACCUAUUGCACAGCUGGAGCAGCCCAAGGAUGAAGGAAACUCCGACUAGAAAACAUUUCCUUCUCUUUAAACCUACCACUCACACCACACAUGCUGGCCACUCUCAUUACUGCUUUGACUAAGUGUGUGGAAGGCAGUUCAGUUCCAGUUUGGAGCUAUCCUCUCCCCAUGCAAAGCUACCAUGUGGAUGAUCCAGACUUAGUAUUUUCCCUGAGAAUCACCUGCCACACAUCUUCAUGAAGUGACCAUGACUGUACACUUCCAGACCGCUUCCUGACUAGGCUCCAUUCCUCAUGGGGCCAAAUAGUUUUCCUUGGUCAACUCCCAAGUCCCCAUGACAAAACAAGAGAAACUUGAGCAUCUCCAUUGCUAGACUUGUCUGAGCUUGAGGGAAUGUGCAGGGAGUAAAACUUAUUUACUCCAAAAACCAGAGUCCACUUCACCUGGGCUUCACUAGCCUGACUCUUGUGCAGUGUUUUUUUCCCCUGCAUUUCCUGUUUUUUUUCUGUUUUCUCAUUAUUUGGUUAAAUGGCAGGUAUCCUACCCUGUUGUCGGAGGCCAGCUCCGGUGGCCGGGGAGUGUACACUUUCCCGAAGAAGAUGGACAGCAUCGGCAAAUGUACAAAUAUGGAGACAGCCUCUUUGUCCCUUCUUUCAGGGUGCUGGACUGCUCCAAUUUUAUUGGCAACAGUGGUUGAUUAUAUAGACAGUUUUUCACUACAAAUUACAUCAGUGUUAAAAGUAUAUUGGUUACCUAUUACAUGGUAUAGCAGCUAUACAUUAUGUUUUAAGAUCUCUAUCUUAACUAAACUUAGUACUUUGAAGAGGCCAUAGACACAAGGAUUUGGCAUUCACAGACCUUGUUUGUAGACUG